UACAGAGGGUGCGAGCGUUAAUCGGAAUUACUGGGCGUAAAGCGUGCGUAGACGGUUAUUUAAGUCGGAUGUGAAAGCCCCGGGCUCAACCUGGGAAUUGCAUUCGAGACUGAAUAGCUAGGGUGCGGUAGAGGGAAGCGGAAUUUCCGGUGUAGCGGUGAAAUGCGUAGAUAUCGGAAAGGAACAUCAGUGGCGAAAAGCGGCUUCC
rnacentral:rRNA from 1 species